rnacentral:lncRNA from 1 species
UAAGUGUUAAAAACUCUUUAAUUGAUGUAAGGAGAAUAUGAGUUUUAUAAAUAAAAAAGCAAUAAAAUCAUAUUCUAUUUACAAUUUUACAUGCUAAAGGUUGGAAAAUAUGACUAAAAUAGUAAAAUUUGUUUAUAUUAUGAUUAUUCUUCUUUCCUUAUUUAUUGUUUCAACAAGCUUUACUUGUAAGCAUUUUUAUCUCCAUUACAAAUUUAUUUAUUUACUUAUAAUAUUUUAUCUCUAUUUUAGUAACAUUAAUUCUUGUUUCUCUUUUUAGAUAUUCAAUGUGCUCAUAAAGGUGAUUGUCCAAACCUAUUUUGCCCAUACCCUAAAAGAAUUAAGUGUAUUAAAGGUUUAUGUCUUUGUCAAUAAUUAUAAAGCUCCAUAGGUUAAAAGUGGCAGACCCAAGAGACUACACAUGCACACUGCUAAAAUAAUUAAUCCAUGAGUUGUUAUGUAGUUAUUGUGAUGAUAACCAAUAAUUUAAUUAUUUUUUUUAGCUUUUAAAUUUUACGAACCUUGUUGUUUUGUACUUUAAAUAUGAUGUAAUUUAAAUGAAAUAAAACAUCAAAGAAUAUUAUCUA